rnacentral:snoRNA from 1 species
UGAAUGAUGAUUCUUGCACUGGGCUCUGAAUUAUUGAUGGAAAUGCAAGCCUAGAAAGCUUUAUCUGACU